UACCGUGCCGAGUGUGGUGUCAGAAAUGCCCACAAAGUUUGCAUUAGACUUGAACAACUCGUAGCACGGUUUU
rnacentral:ncRNA from 1 species